UUUUUAAAUAAACUAAAUUCAAGUGACUAUAAAAUUUAACAAGCUGUUUUUUUUUUUUAAAGGACACUGCAGAAUAGAACCUAGAGCAAAAGAAACCCAAGUUGAUGUUAACCAUGGAUCUCCCUGUCCAGAUGCUCAGCAAAAUCAUGUUGUUUAUGCACCAUUAAACAUUCCAGGGGACAGUGGAGAAUCAAGAAAAGAGAACUGUCCGGCUAUGGCACUUACUUCAGCGACAUGCACAGAGGAUUCAGUGACAUACUCUGAGGUCCACUUAAAGAAAGGACCAAAGGAUGAAGGUUAAGCAUUACUUGCAUGAAUUUAAUUUUUUCACCUUGCAUAUAAGAUGGGAUGCCAUUGAUUCUUUUAAUGGCACUUCAAGCUUCUGGUCCUGUUUGGUUUUGUGAAGGUUUUUCUGCAAAUACAUUUAUAUAGUUUCCAAAGGUUUUUUUUUCUUUUUUUUUCUUCAUGCAAUGUUCAAGACUGAAUUG